rnacentral:rRNA from 1 species
CCUACGGGAGGCUGCAGUGGGGAAUAUUGGACAAUGGGCGCAAGCCUGAUCCAGCCAUGCCGAGUGUGUGAAGAAGGCUCUAGGGUUGUAAAGCACUUUCAGUAGGGAGGAAGGCCAGAGGCUUAAUAAGUCUUUGGAUUGACGUUACCUGCAGAAUAAGCACCGGCUAAUUCCGUGCCAGCAGCCGCGGUAAUACGGAAGGUGCAAGCGUUAAUCGGAAUUACUGGGCGUAAAGCGCGCGUAGGUGGUUCAACAAGUCGGUCGUAAAAGUUUAGGGCUCAACCCUAAAAUGUCGAUCGAUACUGUUGUGACUAGGAUACGGUAGAGGUGAAUGGAAUUCCGAGUGUAGCGGUGAAAUGCGUAGAUAUUCGGAGGAACACCAAUUGCGAAGGCAGUUCACUGGACCGUGAUCGACGCUGAGGAGCGAAAGCUAGGGGAGC